rnacentral:tRNA from 1 species
GGAUUGUGGCUCAGUGGUAGAGCCCUUGCAUAGCAGGCGUGAGGUGCUGGGUUCGAGUCUCAGCACCA